rnacentral:ncRNA from 1 species
CCUUAUUCAGAGCGAGGGAGGGAAUGGGCCCUGCGAUCUCGCGGCAACCUCACAAGCAGUGAAGGUGCCAAUUCCCACGGAGGUAUGCCGUGCCUCCGGCAGAUGAG